rnacentral:rRNA from 1 species
UACGGAGGGUGCGAGCGUUGUUCGGAAUCACUGGGCGUAAAGGGCGUGUAGGCGGUCCGCUAAGUCUGAUGUGAAGGCCCGGGGCUCACCCCCGGAAGGGCAUUGGAAACUGACGGACUCGAGUCCCGAAGAGGAGGGUGGAAUUCCUGGUGUAGCGGUGAAAUGCGUAGAUAUCAGGAGGAACACCGGUGGCGAAGGCGGCCCUCUGGACGGUGACUGACGCUGAGACGCGAAAGCGUGGGGAGCAAACAGG